ACGCCGGCAAAUCCCGAAGUGAAAACGCUGUGGUCACCUUGAUGCCAUGAAGCCCGAAUAAUUCUAGCAACGUCAUUAAUACUAAUGAAUACAUUUGGAAUUUCAAUUCUUUCAGGUUCACCGUUUUCAGGUAUAUCUGGCACACUAAGUCGUAUUAAGUCUUGUUCACUAAUCUGGACAUUUUCGUCAAUGCGUACAUCUCUAUAAAGUGGGUUAUUUCUAGUUAACCAUCUUAAAGCGCUGUAGAAUUUUUCGCGAGAUAUUGUGAACUCUCUUGUGAUGUUCAAAUUCUCCAAACGUUCUGUAACUACAACGAUACCCACCUGGCUGGAAGAUCUUGGAAGCAUAUUAGAUCAAUCUGACAACGGGAAGGUGCUUAAAUUUCAAUUUCUAAUUUUGACCCAAAUAAAUAAAAAACAAAUUCCG